GAGACUGGUGAUUCUCCGAAGGCACAUACUUCUGAAAGGAAUGCACAGCAGGCCAGGUGAAUGAUCUAGUAGAGAAUUAGAAUAGCUAGUGAACACUGUUAUCUGGUAGUCUCAUGAUAGUGUCAUAGCACUCUUUUCUUUUUUAUUUUCUUUUUUAAUUUUUUAUUCUAUAUUUUCUUUAUUUACAUUUCAAAUGUUAUCCCUUUCCUGUUCUCCCCUCAGAAAAUUCCCAUGCCCUCCCCCUGCUCACCCAUCCACCCUUCCCGAUUCCUGGCUUUGGCAUUCCCCUACACUGGGGCAUCAAGCCUUCACAGGGCCAAGGGCCUCUCCUCCCAUUGAUGUCCAACAAGGCCAUCCUCUGUUACAUAUGCCAUGAGUUCCUCCAUGUGUGCUCUUUGGUUGUUGGUUUAGUCCCUAGGAGCUCUGGGGGUACUGGUUGGUUCACAUUGUUGUUUCUCCUAUGAUGCUGCAAACCUCUUCAGCUCCUUGGGUCCUUUCUCUAACUCCUCCUUUGGAGACACUGUGCUCAGUCCAAUGGUUGACUGAGAACAUCCACCUCUGUAUUUGUCAGACACUGGCAGAGUCUCUCAGGAGACAGCUAUAUCAGGCUUCUGUCAGCAAGCACUUCUUGGCAUCCACAUAGUGUCUGGGUUUGGUAACUGUAUAUGGGAUGGAUCCCCAAAUGGGGCAGUCUCUGGAUGGCCUUUCCUUCAGUCUCUGCUCCAUACUUUGUCUUUAUCUCCUCCCAUGGGUAUUUUGUUCCCCCUUCUAAGAAGGACCGAAGUAUCCAUACUUUGUUCUUCCUUCUUCUUAAGCUUCAUGUGGUCUGUGAAUUGUACCUUGGGUAUUCUGAUCUUCUGGGCUAAUAUCCACUUAUUAGUGAAUGCAUGCCAUGCAUGUCCUUUUGGUAGCACUCUUUUCUUAAGGAUAUUUAUUGAUAAUAAAUCUCUGAACAAAUAAUUGUGUAGUACUUUGCUCUAGGCACUAUUCUAGAUUCUGGAGAUAGAUCAGUGAAUAAAAUAUCCAAGUUCUUAGUGCUUAUCUUAGUUACUAUUCUAUUGAUGUGAAGAAACACCAUGACCAAAACAACUCUUAUAAAAGUAAGUGUUUAUUUGGGGGAACUGCAUAUAGUUGCAGAGGGUUAGCCCGUGAUUAUAGUUGCAGGAAGCAGGCAGACAUGGCAGGUGAGCAGUAGUUGAGCACCUUGUAUUCUGAUCCAUAGGCUGUAGGCACAGAGAAAGAGAGGAGGAGAAGGAGAGG
rnacentral:lncRNA from 1 species